AACGAACGCUGGCGGCAUGCUUAACACAUGCAAGUCGAACGCGCCCUUGGGCUUCGGCCUGGGGGUGGAGUGGCGCACGGGUGGAGUAGCGCGUGGGAACCGUCGCCCUCGUUGUUGGGGGAGUAAACCGAGGGAAACUUCGGCUAAUACCGCAUACGCCCGGUGGAGCGAUCCAUCGGGGAAAGAUUUAUCGCAGCAGGAGGGGCCCGCGUCGGAUUAGCUUGUUGGUGGGGUAACGGCCUACCAAGGCGANGAUCCGUAGCUGGUCUGAGAGGAUGAUCAGCCACACUGGGACUGAGACACGGCCC
rnacentral:rRNA from 1 species